UGUUCCAAGGAGGUAGCCAGUGCCAUCGAGGGGCCACCAUUUUGGCCAAGCUUCCCAUCAUCCCUAUAAAGAAACAUCCCUAACAGCUACUAGGGAAACAAGAUUGGCAAGCCCUACACUGUUCCAUGCAAGGUGACAAGCUGUGGCUCUGUGCUGGUGCAUCUCAUUCCUGCCCCAAGAGGAACUGACAUUGCCUCUGCUCCUGUGCCCAAGAAGCUACUGAUGAUGGCCAGUAUAGAUGACUGCUACAAUUCAGCCAGGGGCUGCAGUGCUGCCACCUUUGAUGCCAUCUCCAAGACCUACAGCUAACUGACCCCUGACCUCUGGAAAUAGACUGUUUCACCAAGCUUCCUUAUCAGGAAUUCACUGGUCAUCUUGUGAAAAACACACCAAAAUCUCUGUU
rnacentral:lncRNA from 1 species